UGACAUAUUUCUUGGGUCUAGCAUAUAA
rnacentral:piRNA from 1 species